UAAAGCCAGAAGAAGACGACUUCCAGGAUUUUCAAGAUGCUUCUAAGUCAGAAUCCCUUGAUGAUUCAUUCAGUGAUUUCCAAGAUUUGCCUGCUUCUUCAAAAACAAGUAACUCCCAGCAUGGAAACAGUGCCCCUUCUUUGUUGAUGCCACUUCCUGGAACUAAAGCAUUGCCUUCAAUGGACAAAUAUGCUGUGUUUAAAGGAAUUGCAGCUGACAAGUCCUCUGAAAAUACUGUUCCACCUGGAGAUCCUGGUGAUAAAUAUAGUGCUUUCAGAGAACUCGAACAGACAGCAGAGAAUAAACCUUUAGCAAAAAAGUGGUCUCUUGAGAUUUUUUGGAGUCUAAAAAGUGACGGAGAGGGAAACUUACAAGAGAAAGUUUUGCAGAAUUCAGAUCUGCAGGAACUGAUGAUGGUUUCACUGAUUUUAAAACAGCCGAUAGUGU
rnacentral:sRNA from 1 species